UACGGGGGGGGUAAGCGUUGUUCGGAAUUACUGGGCGUAAAGGGCUCGUAGGCGGCCAACUAAGUCAGACGUGAAAUCCCUCAGCUUAACUGGGGAACUGCGUCUGAUACUGGAUGGCUUGGAUUCGGGAGAGGAAUGCGGAAUUCCUGGUGUAGCGGUGAAAUGCGCAGAUAUCAGGAGGAACACCAAUUGCGAAGGCAGCUCGCUGGGACGUUACUGACGCUGAGACGCGAAAGCGUGGGGAGCAAACGGG
rnacentral:rRNA from 1 species